AUGUUUUCCUCUCAAUCUCUGAGUCGUGUUAACAACAUUCGCACUGCUUUGAUCAAUGCAUAGAAGGGCAACCAAUCUGUUGCCGCGUAUUAUGCCUCUAUGCGCGGCCUGGCCGAUGAACUCGCCGCGGCCGGCAAGCCCAUCCAGGAUGAUGAACUGAUCUCCUACCUACUGCACGGGCUGGACAUGGACUACCAGCCCCUCGUCUCUGCCCUCGACGCCCGCGUCACGCCGGUCUCUCUCGAUGAGCUGUACGCCAUGCUGAGCAACUUUGAUCAGCGUGUUGCGCAGUUCCAUAGCACGGGCAGCGGCUUCAAGUCUUCGGCAAACGCGGCCACCCGCGGGCGCGGCGGGUACUCAUCCCAUCACCGUGGUCCUCCUCGACACAAGGGCAAGCAAGGUGGUGGCAGCUGCAGUAACUCCGUGUUGGGGAACGUAGUAAUUUCAAAAAAAUUCCUACGCACACGCAAGAUCAUGAUGAUGCAUAGCAACGAGAGGGGAGAGUGUUGUCCACGUACCCUUGUAGACCGAAAGCGGAAGCGUUAUAACAACGCGGUUGAUGUAGUCGUACGUCUUCACGGCCCGACCGAUCAAGCACCGAAACUACGGCACCUCCGAGUUUUAGCACACGUUCAGCUCGAUGACGAUCCCCGGACUCCGAUCCAGCAAAGUGUCGGGGAAGAGUUCCGUCAGCACGACGGCAUGGUGAUGAUCUUGAUGUUCUACCGUCGCAGGGCUUCGCCUAAGCACCGCUACAAUAAUAUCGAGGAUUAUGGUGGAGGGGGGCACCGCAAACGGCUAAGAGAUCUCAAGGAUCAAUUGUUGUGUCUAGAGGUGCCCCCUGCCCCCGUAUAUAAAAGAGCAAGGGGGGGCGGCCGGCCAUGA
rnacentral:rRNA from 1 species